rnacentral:lncRNA from 10 species
GAUUUACAAAACUGUUUGGUUUAUAAGGUGUGGUCACCGAAGUCUUUUUGUUUCCUUAACAAAUGUUAAGCUAAUGUUUUGACAGUGAUUUUCUGGUAUGUCAGGAACCAAUCAAACAGGCAAAUACAAGAAAAACAAAAAGAAAAACAAGUAAUCAUUGUCCAGCAAAAUAUGUCUCUAGGCCAUGCAGACUGGCUUUGUGCUGGGUUCUUUAAAGCCGGCACAAAGUGUGUGUUCACUCUUGCACUGAGUGAAGUUCAAGUUCACUCUUGCACAGAGCUUGCACUGAGGGGAGGGAUCGGCCAAGGUAAAAGCGUAGUGUCUUCUUAUGACAUUUGUCAGCAUGUGGCUUAACCUAUGAAUACAUGUGACUUUGUAGACUCUCCCAUGUAUGUGAAUGAUUUUGUAUGUCUUAGUUUUUGAAAUACUCUUCUCCAACUUUUCUUGCUCUGCUGAAGGUGAUCUACUAUAUGUGUAAACUUUAAUUUUUGCCCUAAGCAUCUGUGGUUUGUUAGGUCUCCUUGCAGAGUUUCUUAAUAAUGUCCAUUCCUUAUAUGUUCUGUAUUCUAGCAACACAGAAAAAAAAAAAGCCUUUCAUGAGUCCUUUAGGUAUCCCCCAGACCAGUCAGAACAGACACAUAAUAAUUUGUGGUUAAGAUCUUCUCUUGUUCCUUUGGACCAUGGACCAGGCUUCCUCACUGGGAACGUGGGCUUCUGACACUUCAGAACUGCCAAUUUGCUGGGGCAAAGUAUCCUUGCAUCUCAGCGUAUAUUGGGAUCACUUGUUUUAAUCCAGUCUGACAAUCUCUGCUUCUGGAAUGGAUUUUAAUCUGCUCACAUUUAAGAUUAUAAUUGGUAUAAUUCUAUUUAUGUCUGCCAUUUUACCGUUUGUUUUAUAUAUUUCUCAAAUAUUUUUCUUUAUCGCUUUAUUUUGCAAUGAAAGAAUAUUUUCUAAAAUAGGGAACUUUAGAUUACUAAUGAAUUAUUUUAUUAUAUAUUUUUGAGAAUUUUUGUUGUUGUAAGUUUACCCUAUAUGUAUAUGGAAAAUUAAUUAUUCAAACCAUCUUCCAAUCUACACUAGUAAACUUUUAGUAAUACAUAGAAACAACAUUCUUAUAUAAAUCUCUUUUGUUUCCUCCAUUUUAAAGUAUUAUCACUUUACACAUUACAUCUAUUAAAGUUACAAAGCCAACAAUACAUUUUAGUAAUUAUUACUUUACCAUCUAGAGUUAUUACCUUAUCGCAAUACAUUUUUCUUCCAACUACCUCCUUUUUGAUGUUACUGGAAAAUAUGUUAUAGACGUGUUCCAUUUCUACAUGUCAAAUACUCAGCAAUACAUUCUGCACAUAUUAUUAUUAUUAUCAUUGAGACGGAGUCUCCCUCUGUCACCCAGGCUGGAGUGCAGUAGCACAAUCUCUGCUCACUGCAAGCUCCAUCUCCCGGCUUCAUGCCAUUUUUCUGCUUCAGCCUCCCGAGUAGCUGGGACUACAGGCGCCCACCAUCACGGCCGGCUCAUUUUUUUGUAUUUUUAGUACAAACGGGGUUUCACCAUCUUAGCCAGGAUGGUCUCGAUCUCCUGGCCUUGUAAUACGCCCGCCUUGGCCUCCCAAAGUGCUGAGAUUACAGGUGUGAGCCAUCGUGCCCGGCCAUUAU